GAACCCCCUCUGGCAGCACCUCCACUACAACUGGAAUGAUGCGGAGAAGAUUAGCAGACCCCUACACAAGGAUGACACACAAACAUGUGCAAUGUUCAUGUUUUUU
rnacentral:snRNA from 1 species